ACACGUGCCUUGCAGAUAAGCAUGAAUGCUCCUGUUAUGGUCGAGCUUGAAGGGGGGACUUAUCCACUUGAGGUGGAGGCGCUUGAGCGGGUGUAUACCGAUUGCCCCAAGCCAACCUCCGCGCGCAGGCAACAACUGCUGUUUUUAGGUACCCAGGUAACCCUCAAGGUACUCCUGCACUGUCACGUCUGUCUCCCCCCGACACUCUGCCUGAUCCCCCAACUGUGAGAAGGUAGCUGCACAUCAUAAUGGACAUGGCACGAGCCAUGAGAAUCACACACAAGAAAGUGAGUCAUCUGUUGAGCAGCAUGAUCCUGAAAGCCAAGACGACAUCAGCAUAAAAGCCACACCUGCUGAUGAAUCACCACCGGAGGAGACAUCUGCAGCACCUACUAAAGAGCAGCUAUGUGUACUCUCUCAACCGCUCAAGGCAGUAGCAAAAGGAGCAAGCGUGGAAGACCAGCGAUUGCCAGAUUGGCCUCACUAUGGACCAGAUCCGGUUUCUUCUAAGAGGAACUUUCUCUGCGACUGUAGACAGCAGGGCAUCGCCGCAUUGCCAAUCAUCUAUCCUGAUUGUUAGGCUAAUGGUGGGGCAUCAGGAUUUUGUUGACCUUGCUGGAAGUGAACAAGCUGCACAAACACAUGCAGUUGGCGCAAGACUGAAAGAAGGCUGCCAUAUAAAUCGCAGCUUACUGACUCUUACUACUGUCAUCAGGGAGCUAAGGUCUGAUUUUCUUAAGAAGGAAAAAAAAAACUCUGGGUCUAUUAUCUCUUAUCUGCACUAAUCUUGAAAGUAGUUGCUGGGUUACCUCAUUGCACUCAUGGGUUAGUCUCAUUUCUAAUGUUAUCAGACAAUAGAUCAUUGGAUCAGAUGGAUUACAUCCUUCUCUACAAUUUUAAUGCUCUUAGCUGGUAGAUCAUUGAAUGGUUAGUAUGGUCAAUUAUGGGUUGUAUGCUGAUAUGGUGUAUAUUUGUCUGCAGGAUUUUUUUUCUUUCCUUUCCCUAUUAUCAUUCUCUAUGGUGAGGUAUAGCUUUUUAUUUGUAUUUUACUCAUUUAGGCCUUUUGCGAUAGCUAUCUUGAUGGAAUUAUUGUAGUUUCCAUAAUUAUAUUCAGCUAUUUGUCUUUUAAAACUGAAGCUAUGAGCUUAGAAUAGCAUAGUAUUUGUUGUCGAAAAUAGAGAUGAUUUCCUAUAGCCCACUAUGGAGUGAUGGCAGGAUAGGUGUGGCUCUCUGUUUCUAACCCCAGUCGUCAUUUAUACUAUUAUGCGGUCUGUGUGCCAGCACUGUAGUUAGAAAGGACCACUCUUGCAAGGAUAUUUCUCCACUCUUGCAAGGACCACUCUUGAACGCCAACGGAUUAAAUUAAAUUUUCAUUUACUCGAUUUUAAUCGAACGGUGAUUUACGGGUUUGCUUUGGAUUGGCUAGAUUGGGAAGAAUGCUCUCGCAAACUGUAUUAUCAAAUUUUCUGGGUUACCUACAGGAAAGCGAAGUGUGGGUUGUUCGUCACCCAUAGGGUCAUGCCAAUUGCCAAGAUUGAUGUUGGGCGUUCGGUUUAGGCUCAUGUUGUUAGUGUAAAUGUGCCACACUGAUAGAGAUGCAGAAAGGGUUAUUUUGUAUAAAUGGGAGUAUGGGUUGGUCCUGUUGGACAGGGUUAGUACCAUCAGAAAGGAUUCUGGCAGUAUGUCAAUGUAGGUAUCAUUAAGUUAUUUUGCUUUUGAAAGAGGAACCACCUGUCAGGGAAAAAAGACUGGUGCAUGACAAGGGGAAAAAAGUAGUCGCAAAGAAAAUUCGCAAACGAAGUUAGGUUUAGAUGUAAAACCACAAUUAUGGUCUCUGGUUGACUUUACUAAAAAAGAUGAGUGGUUUUGUUGUAAGAAUGUUAACUGAGAUUUUUCUAUGUAAUGCUUGAAGCAAGCACAUACACACGUGUUGGCCGCUUACUGAUAUUUGAAGAUGAUAAUUCUGGCAUUCGCGUGGUGGAGUUGUGGUGAAAUUAGAGAAAAUGUUGAUUGCUGGAAUUGUGCAGAGAACAGCUUGUAUAAACCUUCGGGAUAUGCAAGUGCAUUUUCAUUUUACAAACUUAUGUAGCCAAUGUAACACUGGUGCAAUGGGUUUAUUAUUAUUCUUUUUCGCAAAUCUAAAUACAUAGUUAUUUAAGGAAAAAAAACUAUUGGGGCAUGAGUUUCUUUUAGUGUAAAAAAGAAACUCUGGUUAAAAAACAACUUUUGAGGUUGAGUAAAUGUGAUUUAAAUAAAAAUUAGCUUGGCUGCAUUUUCUUGUUAGAUUGAAGUGUUUAAUACUGAAGAAACUGAGCAGCCACAAGGAGGCUCCAAUGGUAUGAUGUUUGUGUUAUGCACUUAUUUUUAUCCUUCAAUUUGCAUGUGUUAUUUUAGAGCUGAACUAUUUUUCCUGUCGUACAGGUCAAAUAAAUCAUGGCAAAUACUCAACAAGGAGUCUCUCAUCUAAAGAGUACUCGCAGCUAACUGGAUUUAACUAAUAAUGAUACCACUGUUGUUGGCAUUGUAUGUAUAUGUUGGCUUUGUAUGUACAUGUUUUUCAACAAGACAAGUACAAAUUAGUGAAUGAUCCUUCAUCUCUAGCCUUGUAUAAAUGUGUAAUAUAUGAAAUCUGCAUGUUUCUCGUUACUGUA